UACGGAGGGUGCAAGCGUUAUCCGGAUUCACUGGGUUUAAAGGGUGCGUAGGUGGGUUGAUAAGUCAGUGGUGAAAUCCCCGAGCUUAACUUGGGAACUGCCAUUGAUACUAUUGAUCUUGAAUACCGUGGAGGUCAGCGGAAUAUGUCAUGUAGCGGUGAAAUGCUUAGAUAUGACAUAGAACACCGAUUGCGAAGGCAGCUUGCUAAACGAUUAUUGACGCUGAGGCACGAAAGCGUGGGGAGCAAACAGG
rnacentral:rRNA from 1 species